rnacentral:rRNA from 1 species
AUUGAACGCUGGCGGCAGGCCUAACACAUGCAAGUCGAACGAGUGGCGGACGGGUGAGUAAUGUCUGGGCAACUGCCUGAGGGAGGGGGAUAAGUACUGGAAACGGUAGCUAAUACCGCCUUCCAUCGGAUGUGCCCGGUUGGGAUUAGCUAGUAGGUGGGGUAAAGGCUCACCUAGGCGACGAUCCCUAGCUGGUCUGAGAGGAUGACCAGACACACUGGAACUGAGAAACGGUCCAGACUCCUACGGGAGGCAGCAGUGGGGAAUAUUGCACAAUGGGCGAAAGCCUGAUGCAGCCAUGCCGCGUGUAUGAAGAAGGCCUUCGGGUUGUAAAGUACUUUCAGUGGGGAGGCGUUACCAGCAGAAGAAGCACCGGCUAACUCCGUGCCAGCAGCCGCGGUAAUUC